CUAAUGAGCCUAAUUGCCAUUGUUGACUGCAGAAUUGAAGGAAGGGAAGGAUGGGAAAAGAGAAAAGAGGGAAGGGAAUACCUAUUAGACCUUAUGCCACUUCAUCCUUGCUGUAUCUAUACUGUCAAUCAGGAAAGCUAAGUUGGAUAUGAAAACAGGAAUAUGUUAGCAAUGGCAUUUGUAAAAGACACUGUAGUAUUUAGCCUGUAGUAUUUGUGCAACUCUUAUGGCUCUGCCAAGAAAAUUUAAUCAAAUAUCAAACUCUCCAAAUUGUAACAGCAACAAGUCCU
rnacentral:lncRNA from 1 species